UUAAAUAAAUAUGGUGCACA
rnacentral:siRNA from 1 species